AAAUUUGAAAUUAAAAAUUUUUAAUUAAAAAUCUCAUAUACUUCGAAUGAAAAAUAUAAAAUUUUAGUAUUCGAUUUAUUAUCAUAAAAUGAUAAUGCGGUUCAUCUAAAUUUAGAUAAAAUGUAAAUUUACUAAUACCUUCAUUAAUCAUGAAAUGAAACAUUAGAUAAGUCCUGCAUAAAAAGGUACAGAAUUUAGACUAUCUUGUAGAACAGUAUAGAUAAGUUAAUAUUACGUGCGUGUGUACAGUAUGAAGAAACAAAUUAUAAAGCAAAGAAACGGCAAUCUUAUUGUGCAACAAGUACAAUUCGCCUUGAUUAUACAAGUACAAAUUAAGAAUUGCUCCUUAGUCUGUGUAAUAUAAAUAAUUCAUCUAAACAUUAUAUCACAAUAUUGCUUCCUAUGGCUGUGAUUACUGAGUCAUUUGAUGUUGACUUUAAGAGGGAGUAAUAUCAUAUGAAAACUCAUACUUCACGCCAUAUUUAUUUAUUAUUGUUCAUCGCUACCGAUAUAAUAUUAUUUGACACCUUAAAACAUGUCAUUAAUUGUUGUAUACAUAAAAAUAUAUGUAUAAUCUUUUUAUAAAUGUCUUUUGAUAAAUUUUUUUUCAAACGAAGAAAAAUAUAUAUUUAAAUUAUUUUUAUGGUGCGAAGAUAUGAUUUUUAACAAAAAAAUAAAAUUUAUAAUAAAAUUUGGCAUAUAAAUUAAUCUAUGCAUGUAAACAUACAUGUAUAUGUUAUAUGUAUAAUGUAAAAUGCCAAUAUACCGAAUAAAUAAACAGUAUUUAGUUCGGUGUUUAAUAAAUGUGCAUUUCGCAGUAAUCUUUAAAAUUUAAUAAUCGCGCAAAAUUUAAUUUUUUUUAAUCGUUUAAAUAAAUACUCACUUAACAUAGUAUAAAAAAUAAUAUUAGCGCCUAAUUUUUAUUAAUAUUUACGAAAUUAAAUUUUAUGUAUAUUUGCAGAGAUCAUGAUGACCAAUUGAUUUUUAUGGACUAUUUACCUGAAAAAUUAAUAGAAUUACUCAUUUUAAUUAAUAUUUGCUUAUUAAAUUUUUUUUAUCAACUUAUAUAUAAAAUAAUGCUCCCACUGAUAUAUUAUUGCAUAAGUUGAUAAUGUUAGCGCACGAAAAAAUAAAUGAACGAUAUACAAUAAAACGUAUUAUAUGUAAUAAUAAUGUAAAUAAAAUGAUUCUGUAAUGUAAAUAAAAUAUAAAAAGAGUCAUGAAAAUAUUAUUUUUGUCUACUAAAUUAAUAAAAAAACAUUAGAAAAUCGCGAUAACACGUAUUCUCAUUUCAGAGUUAUGCUAUGUUGAAAAUUCUUUAUAAAUGUAAUUUUUUUUUAAAUCAGUGGGCUUAUAUCCAAAUUUUGAUUACAAUUUUAUAUAAAUUAUUGAACACAUAAUAAAAUUAAAUCAUGACGACCAAAGGAGUCUGUAAUACACGUUGUCAAGCAUUUCAUACUGAAAUGAUAAAAAAAGAGGAAAACACACGUAUUAACUGGUUUUUGAAAAACCAACAGAAAUUAUUGGAUCAUUUAGAAAAAGUAACAAAAGUUGAAUUGCCGCCGAAAUAUGAACCAGAGAAAAAACCAAGCAUAGGCAUUGUAUAUAAUCAUACAUUUAAAACCCUUACCAAAUUGGAGACCUCUCGAACCUGAUGGUUCUAUCAAUAUGAAUAUAAUGAAACCAAUUGAUCCACAAACGAGAGCCAUGUUAUUUGAAGACGCUCCAAGCUUUAUCACCAAUGAAAA